CUAGACCAGCUGCUUUCUAGGCUUGAGCACAGCAGUAGACACGCCAUCGGCCUUCCCUGUCCUCUGUGGACAUUUCUUCAUUCCCAUGUUGCAUAUGCUAAACUUUUCUGGUUUACUCCAUUUUGGCUAAUAAGAGCAGUUACCAGCAUUUUUGGAACAAAGCAGACGGAAGCCGGGAUAGGAGGAAAGAAGAGGACAGAAGCAGAGACAGAGUUCUAAUGAGACAUUUCACCAAGAUUUAUGAAGGCUCCUUCUUGGGCAAACUACAGUGCGAGGUGAUCUGGGGACUAUUGUACAUGAAGCCAUGCAGCUUUGUCUGAAAGAUACCUACUCAACACCUCUGGAUGAGCCCUGUGAGAAAGCUCUCCAACACAGGGGAGGGAAUGAGGCUCUGACAAGCACAGCAAGCACACACGGCCUGGACACACUGCCGAGGAGCCUCUGCUUUUAACCCUCCAGGCUUUCCAGUUUUAGAAUUCCAGCUAGUCAAGCUUCUUUCUGGGAAAAGACCUACAAGAGUUUAUACUUAGUAAGGAUCAACUGUGAUAUGCUGUAAGUUGAUUCCCCUUCCCUAGUUCACAUCUAUAUGGCCAAC